AUUACCAUAUUUUUCUCUGAUUUUGCCCUACCAGCUCGAUUACCUAUUCUCGAGUAAUUUGACAGUAGCAAGAACUUCUGAUUUUUUAAAGAUUUCUGAAGAGUGCUUACAAGGAUUUUGUCAAAUACUAAUUACUUCCUCACGCUGCUUUAAAGAAAUAGUUCAAAAAAGCAACCUCAAGCAGGCAGAUGUUUAUGGCUGGAAAUGAGCAGGGAUGAACACGCCAAUAUGGUCAUUAGGUUUAACUAGUAUUUGAUGUUUCUUUCCCUACUCCCCUUUUUUAGAGUGUUGUUUGAAUUGCUUUAGGCAUGUCUUUCGAACAUUCACUGUAUUAUUGUCAAGGCUUUCCUCUGACAGGGUGGUAAAAGGAAUUGGAAAGCAUGGGAGUUUUUCAUUGGUCAUGGACUCAUGGGAAUGAGGCUUUUCAAGACAAGUGUAUCUUGAAUGAUUUUGGAUAUAAAUAUAUUUCUUUCAUGUUAUAUUCACAGGUUUUUAAACAUGUUUUCUGAAUGUUUGUCCAAAAAAAAAUGCUUUCUGAAAUGAGUUUUACUCUUGUGGUCAACUGCCGUUUUCUUGUUGUAAGGUGGUGAUUGAAGAAAGGAGCUAGAUCUUUGUUAACCUUGUCUUGACUUUUAUGUUUGGUUAAUAUGUGGACUCCAUGUUUGAUUCUUAAAAAAAAAAAAAAAAAUUUUCUUGAUUGGGAAGUUAAUGUAUGUGUGGAAUAUGUAACUUAUAAUGGAUGACCACCAGUUUUCCAUAGAUAAUUUUAUUUCUUUGCUGUGAAACGUUCAGACUAUUACUGCUGUGACUACUUAGCGACAUUGUGUAUGGUUAAUUUUGUCUCGAUCAUAUUGGCAGGUUCUCAAGACCAGGGAUUAUGUUCAUGUAGAGCAGAUGAAACCCUUUGCAAAUAUUAACAUCAAACCUCGAUCAAAGCUGAUGAAAUCAGAUUUCUAAGCCUUGAAUAGGAUUGGCUGAUGUAGUUUUAAAGAUACAGAUGGUUCCAACUUGGUUCAUGUCUACCAUAUUGGCGGGGGACAGAUGAGCAUGAAGAGGCACCUGUAUGAUGCUGACUGUAGUAACAACAUAGUCGGAUCAAUAUUUUAUGUAUAUAUUUUUGUAAAAUAUCGCCAUUUGUGACUCUAGUUGCUAAUUUGUAUGUUUGUGAUUCAAACGGUUCCGUGCAAGAAAGGUUGGUAUUUUGCUAUCGCUCUCUUUGUCAAGGUGGUUUUGGAGUAGUAGUCGUCAUCCUAGAUGUUAUUGCAAUGGUUAUCAAAUCAUGUACCUAUGGAUUGUAUAGUAUCAUCUUGUAUUGAUCCUUGAAGAGUUACAAGACAUUUGUGAAGAA